UACAGAGGGGGCAAGCGUUGUUCGGAAUUACUGGGCGUAAAGGGCGCGUAGGCGGCCCGCUAAGUCGAACGUGAAAUCCCCGAGCUCAACUCGGGAACUGCGUCCGAUACUGGCGGGCUUGAAUCCGGGAGAGGGAUGCGGAAUUCCAGGUGUAGCGGUGAAAUGCGUAGAUAUCAGGAGGAACACCAAUGGCGAAGGCAGCUCGCUGGGACGGUACUGACGCUGAGACGCGAAAGCGUGGGGAGCAAACAGG
rnacentral:rRNA from 1 species